CAGUCGUACCUGCGGAUAAUCAGCCUUUAGGAUGCGAUUUGUGGAGCGUGAGGAGCUAAUCGCCUUCAUGCCUAUAUAUUCGUGUACUUGGGGUGUACUUGCUUUGCUCGGGGUCAACAUCGGUUUUGGUCGUCGGAAAAGGCUUGGAGGAAUGUGCCACCCUCGGGUGAACUUAUGGCCUCUUUGCUUAUACGAUGGCUGGGACCGAGGAACGC
rnacentral:rRNA from 1 species